UACGGGAGGCAGCAGUGGGGAUCUUGCACAAUGGAGGCAACCUGAUGCAGCAAUGCCGCUGAGUGAAGAAGGCCUUAGGGUUGUAAAGCUCUUUCAUCGGGGAAGAAAAUGACUGUACCCGAAGAAGAAGCCCGGCUAACUCCGUGCCAGCAGCCGCGGUAA
rnacentral:rRNA from 1 species